AUUGAACGCUGGCGGCAGGCCUAACACAUGCAAGUCGAGCGGAUGAAGGGAGCUUGCUCCUGGUUUCAGCGGCGGACGGGUGAGUAAUGCCUAGGAAUCUGCCCGGUAGUGGGGGAUAACGUCCGGAAACGGGCGCUAAUACCGCAUACGUCCUGAGGGAGAAAGUGGGGGAUCUUCGGACCUCACGCUAUCAGAUGAGCCUAGGUCGGAUUAGCUAGUUGGUGGGGUAAAGGCCUACCAGGGCGACGAUCCGUAACUGGUCUGAGAGGAUGAUCAGUCACACUGGAACUGAGACACGGUCCAGACUCCUACGGGAGGCAGCAGUGGGGAAUAUUGGACAAUGGGCGAAAGCCUGAUCCAGCCAUGCCGCGUGUGUGAAGAAGGUCUUCGGAUUGUAAAGCACUUUAAGUUGGGAGGAAGGGCAGUAAGUUAAUACCUUGCUGUUUUGACGUUACCAACAGAAUAAGCACCGGCUAACUUCGUG
rnacentral:rRNA from 1 species